rnacentral:misc_RNA from 1 species
CCCAAUUUCCUGCAGCAGCAAUGAGUGAGCGGCCCUCCAAAAUUAGAAAACCUAAAUCCCCAAAACGUAAUGGUAAUGCCCAAUCCUCAAUGGCGCGAAAAUCUUCUAUUCUCAAACAAACCCUAGUUUUUUCUGCUUUCUCUAUCCUCGCCAUCUACGCCCUCUUCAACACUUUCUUCAAUCCCACCACUUCCCCUUCCACCUCCUUAUUCGACGAACAUUUUUCUCCAGACAGCUUUGGCUUUUCCGGUAAAGUGACGGAAAAUGAUGCCCAG